GACGAACGCUGGCGGCGUGCCUAAUACAUGCAAGUUGAGCGCUGAAGGUUGGUACUUGUACCAACUGGAUGAGCAGCGAACGGGUGAGUAACGCGUGGGGAAUCUGCCUUUGAGCGGGGGACAACAUUUGGAAACGAAUGCUAAUACCGCAUAAAAACUUUAAACACAAGUUUUAAGUUUGAAAGAUGCAAUUGCAUCACUCAAAGAUGAUCCCGCGUUAUUAGCUAGUUGGUGAGGUAAAGGCUCACCAAGGCGAUGAUACAUAGCCGACCUGAGAGGGUGAUCGGCCACAUUGGGACUGAGACACGGCCCAAACUCCUACGGGAGGCAGCAGUAGGGAAUCUUCGGCAAUGGACGAAAGUCUGACCGAGCAACGCCGCGUGAGUGAAGAAGGUUUUCGGAUCGUAAAACUCUGUUGGUAGAGAAGAACGUUGGUGAGAGUGGAAAGCUCAUCAAGUGACGGUAACUACCCAGAAAGGGACGGCUAACUACGUG
rnacentral:rRNA from 1 species